AUUGAACGCUGGCGGCAUGCCCUACACAUGCAAGUCGAACGGCAGCACGGGUGCUUGCACCUGGUGGCGAGUGGCGAACGGGUGAGUAAUACAUCGGAACGUACCUUAUCGUGGGGGAUAACGCAGCGAAAGUUGCGCUAAUACCGCAUACGCCCUGAGGGGGAAAGCGGGGGACCGUAAGGCCUCGCGCGAUUAGAGCGGCCGAUGUCUGAUUAGCUUGUUGGUGAGGUAAAAGCUAAACAAGGCGAUGAUCAGUAGCUGGUCUGAGAGGACGAUCAGCCACACUGGGACUGAGACACGGCCCAGACUCCUACGGGAGGCAGCAGUGGGGAAUUUUGGACAAUGGGGGCAACCCUGAACCAGCAAUGCCGCGUGAGUGAAGAAGGCCUUCGGGUUGUAAAGCUCUUUUGUCAGGGAAGAAACAGCAGCUCUAACACAGUCUGCGAAUGACGGUACCUGAAGAAUAAGCACCGGCUAACUACGUGCCAGCCGCCGCGGUAA
rnacentral:rRNA from 1 species